rnacentral:piRNA from 1 species
UGACUGAGAACACAGGAUAUGCCCCUGACAA